UGUUACAUGAUGGCUAUUAUCAUGUAAUUUUACAUAUAUUAAAUAUUAUUAUACUAUUAUUAUAUUAUACUAUAGCUCAUACUUAAUUAUUAUAUUAUAGCUUACAUGCAUGAGUAAGCAAAUAGUUCUAAAGAUUAGAGUAAACGCCUUGUCCACAAAUAACGUCAACGGAUGUGAGUGUGGUUAGAGAACUUUGCACCAACGACCGCAGCAUUGCGUAUGGGAAAUGCGUCAAGAUGGCAAAGUCAUCCUCUGACCAACACUAUAAAAGUAGCUUCACGCAUCAGUGAACAUGUUUGAUUACGUUAUGAUUAUUAGCAUUAUGAUUAAGAAUAGAGAAAUGAUGAAGGAUUAAGGAAGAGUAUUCCAUGGCUGAAGACGAAGCUGCUUUAACGCGCUGAUUAACGUAGAAAGAAAACAACAUGGAUAUCUUCUGGACUAUGGUUUAUUAUGAAUAUGAACUGUUGCUAUAUCAAGUUGCAAUGCUCACUCGGACAGAUAAGUUUUAACAUAUAGCCUAAUUAACCAUAUUGUCAUAUAGCUUAAUUAAUAUAACUAAUGCUUUUCUACUAUAAUAUAUAUAUAUAUCAAAAGGUAAAAUGCUUAGAUUUACAUUCUUUUGUUGCGAGUAAAUAGGACCAGACCGGCCAAACUAAAUAGUAGGGACCGGCUCGUAACAAAUAUAGAAUACUCUUCCUUAAUCCUUCAUCAUUUCUCUAUUCUUAAUCAUAAUGCUAAUAAUCAUAACGUAAUCAAACAUGUUCACUGAUGCGUGAAGCUACUUUUAUAGUGUUGGUCAGAGGAUGAGUUUGCUAUCUUGACGCAUUUCCCAUACGCAAUGCUGCGGUCGUUGGUGCAAAGUUCUCUAACCACACUCAUGUCCGUUGACGUUAUUUGUGGACAAGGCGUUUACUCUAAUCUUUAGAACUAUUUGCUUACUCAUGCAUGUAAGCUAUAAUAUAAUAAUUAAGUAUGAGCUAUAGUAUAAUAUAAUAAUAGUAUAAUAAUAUUUAAUAUAUGUAAAAUUACAUGAUAAUAGCCAUCAUGUAACAUCAUCC